CCUAAUACAUGGCAGGUCGGAGCGAACUGAUUAGAAGCUUGCUUCUAUGACGUUAGCGGCGGACGGGUGAGUAACACGUGGGCAACCUGCCUGUAAGACUGGGAUAACUUCGGGAAACCGAAGCUAAUACCGGAUAGGAUCUUCUCCUUCAUGGGAGAUGAUUGAAAGAUGGUUUCGGCUAUCACUUACAGAUGGGCCCGCGGUGCAUUAGCUAGUUGGUGAGGUAACGGCUCACCAAGGCAACGAUGCAUAGCCGACCUGAGAGGGUGAUCGGCCACACUGGGACUGAGACACGGCCCAGACUCCUACGGGAGGCAGCAGUAGGGAAUCUUCCGCAAUGGACGAAAGUCUGACGGAGCAACGCCGCGUGAGUGAUGAAGGCUUUCGGGUCGUAAAACUCUGUUGUUAGGGAAGAACAAGUACGAGAGUAACUGCUCGUACCUUGACGGUACCUAACCAGAAAGCCACGGCUAACUACGUGCCAGCAGCCGCGGUAAUACGUAGGUGGCAAGCGUUAUCCGGAAUUAUUGGGCGUAAAGCGCGCGCAGGCGGUUUCUUAAGUCUGAUGUGAAAGCCCACGGCUCAACCGUGGAGGGUCAUUGGAAACUGGGGAACUUGAGUGCAGAAGAGAAAAGCGGAAUUCCACGUGUAGCGGUGAAAUGCGUAGAGAUGUGGAGGAACACCAGUGGCGAAGGCGGCUUUUUGGUCUGUAACUGACGCUGAGGCGCGAAAGCGUGGGGAGCAAACAGGAUUAG
rnacentral:rRNA from 2 species